GCUGCUUUAGCUCAGAUGGUAGAGCAUCGGUUUUGUAGUCCGAGGGUCGAGGGUUCGAAGCCUUCAGGCAGCACCA
rnacentral:tRNA from 1 species